rnacentral:rRNA from 1 species
UUACCGAGUUUACACUCCCAAACCCAAUGUGAACGUUACCAAACUGUUGCCUCGGCGGGAUCUCUGCCCCGGGUGCGUCGCAGCCCCGGACCAAGGCGCCCGCCGGAGGACCAACCAAAACUCUUUUUGUAUACCCCCUCGCGGGUUUUUUAUAAUCUGAGCCUUCUCGGCGCCUCUCGUAGGCGUUUCGAAAAUGAAUCAAAACUUUCAACAACGGAUCUCUUGGUUCUGGCAUCGAUGAAGAACGCAGCGAAAUGCGAUAAGUAAUGUGAAUUGCAGAAUUCAGUGAAUCAUCGAAUCUUUGAACGCACAUUGCGCCCGCCAGUAUUCUGGCGGGCAUGCCUGUCCGAGCGUCAUUUCAACCCUCGAACCCCUCCGGGGGGUCGGCGUUGGGGAUCGGCCCUGCCUUUGGCGGUGGCCGUCUCCGAAAUACAGUGGCGGUCUCGCCGCAGCCUCUCCUGCGCAGUAGUUUGCACACUCGCAUCGGGAGCGCGGCGCGUCCACAGCCGUUAAACACCCAACUUCUGAAAUGUUGACCUCGGAUCAGGUAGGAAUACCCGCUGAACUUAAGCAUAUC